rnacentral:lncRNA from 1 species
ACUUCCGGGGAAGCGGCCGAACUGGGGCCUUCCAGGGUCCACGCCGUCUGAGGCCCGAGAGAGUCGGUUCGGCCCCGGUGUUCGCGGAUCCCGGCUCGCGGGAGCCUCGGGGCCAGGCCAGGGAGGCAGAGCAAGCUGCAGCCAGCCGGCGCCGGGCUCGUCGGGCUUCGCAGGUCCGGCCAGCCUACCUCGCCCCACCGCGCAGGGGCCAGCGGCGUCGCGGGCGUUUUCGUGGCGGAAUGGCGUCCUCACUGAGCGCCCAGCCACCACCGCGGACUCGCGCUCGCUUCCUCUGGGGCCCGCGCGGCCUGGGGUCGUGUCUGACCGCGGGUGUCCACGCAACACCUCUGCAGUUUCACUUUCCGGGGGAAUCGCGGGGACCUGGAGCGAACUCUUCCCUCCCUCGCGAGGGCCCCGGGCCCCGCUGUGGUCCACAGAGCACCUUGAGGCCCGGCGUGGAAGGGCGAGUUUGGGGCUGUCGGUAACUUAAUGAGGCACGCCUUUGAGUCGUGGGCCUCAUGACGUUUCCGUGGAAGGCGGGCCGCAUAUACUGUGGUGGUCCCUUCAGAUUACCACGUGUUGGCCAGACGCGGUGGCUCACGCCUGUAAUCUCACCGCUUUGGGAGGCCGAGGUGGGGUGGCGGAUCACGAAUCCAGGAAAUCGAGACCAACCUGGUGAAACCCUGUCUCUACUGAAAAUACAAAAAUUAGCCGGGCGUGGUGGCUGGCGAGCGCCGUAACCCCAGCUAUUGGGGAGGCUGAGGCAGGAGAAUCGUUUGAACCCCGGAGGCGAAGCUUGCAGUGAGCUGAGAUGUCGCCAUUGCACUCCAGCCUGGGCGACAGAGUGAGACUCCAUCUCAAAAAUAAAAAAAUAAAAGAUUACCACGUGUUGUUCGGAUCAUCUGGCCUAGGUGUGGGGUAGGCUGUCCCAUCUAGGUUUGUCACAUAACAAAAUCGCCUAAUGACACAUUUCUCAGGACAUAGCUUCACCGUUGAGUAGCACAUGGCCGUAUUGUUUUUUGUUUGUUUGUUUCUGUUGUUUUUUUUGAGACAGAAUGUUGCUCUUGUUGCCCAGGCAGGAGUGCAAUGGCAUGGUCUUGGCUCACUGCAACCUCUGCCUACUGGGUUCGAGCGAUUCUCCUGCCUCAGCCUCCCGAGUAGCUGGAAUUACAGGCGUGCACCACCACGCCAGGCUAAUUUCUGUAUUUUUGGUAGAAACGGUUUCACCAUUUUGGCCAGGCUGGUCUCGAACUCCUGAGCUCAGGUGAUCUGCCCGCCUCGGCCUCCCAAAGUGUUGAGAUUACAGGCGUGAGCCACUAUGCCAGGCCCGACUGUAUAGCUUUUAUUUUUAUUUUUAGAGGAAAGGUCUCACUCUCUCCCAGGAUGGAGUGCAGUGGCCCAUUGCAGCUCACUGCAGCCUCGAUCUCCUGGCUCAAGCUAUCCUGCCACUCAGUCUCCUAGGUAGCUGAGGCUACAGGCACACGCCGCCAUACCCCAUUAUUUUUUUAUUUUUAUUUUUUGUUCGUUUUUGUGGAGAUGGGGUCUCGUGCUGCCUGGGCUCAUUUUCAUUUCUCUUGGGCGUGCAUAGAAACCAAAUUGCUGAGGCAUAACCUGGGUAUAUGUUUAGCUUUCCCCAAAGCAGCCAUACAUUUAAAAACAUUCCUACCAGGCCAGGCGAGGUGGCUCAUGCCUGUAAUCCCAGCACUUUGGGAGGCUGAGGCUAGUGGAUCACCUGAGGUCAGGAGUUUGAGACCAACCUGGCCGACAUGGUGAAAACCUGUCUCUACUAAAAAAUACAAAAAUUAGCCAGGCAUGGUGGCGGUCACCUGUGAUCCUAGCUACUCAGGAGGCUAAGGCAUGAGAUCGCUUGAACCUGGGAGGUGGAGGUUGCAGUGAGCCGAGAUCAAGCCACUGCACUCCAGCCUGUGUGACAGAGCGAGACUUUGUCUCAAAAAAAGAUAAAAAAAGAAAAUGGAAACAUUCCUACCAACAGUUUAUGUUUCCUUUGCUCCACAUCCUUCCCAACAUUUGGUGUUGCCAAGCGUCUUCAUUGUAGCCAGCCAAUGAGUGGGUAGUGGUAUCUUGUGAUUUUUAAAAUUUUGUUUAUUUUAUAGAGAAGAGAUCUCAUCCUAUCACCCAGGCUGAAGUUCAGUGAUGUCAUCAUAGCUCACUGCAGCCUGGAACUCCUGGGCUCAAGGGAUCCUCCUUCAUUGGCCUCCCAAGUAGCUGUAACUACAGGCAUGUGCCACCGUGCCUGGGUAUUCUUGUGGUUUUGAUUUGCAUUUCCCUGAUUACUAAUGGUCUUGAGCAUUUUUUUCCCCUGUGGUUAUUGCAUGCCAUCAUUGUAAGAUGUACUCUGAUUUUGAGGUAGGAGGCAGAACUUUAUUCCAGACCAGAUUAAAGACUGGCUGAAGGCCGGGCGCGGUGGCUCACGCCUGUAAUCCUAACACUUUGGGAGGCCGAAAAGGCGAGCAGAUCAGCAGAUCGAGACCAUCCUGGCUAACACGGUGAAACCUCAUCUCUACUAAAAGUACAGAAAAUUAGCCGGGUGUGGUGGCUGGUGCCUGUAGUCUCAGCUACUCGGGAGGCUGAGGCAGGAGAAUCACUUGAACCCAGGAGGCGGAGGUUGCAAUGAGCUGAGAUCGCACCACUGCACUCCAGCCUGGGCGACAGAGGGAGACUCUGUCUCAAAAAAAAAAAAAAAAAAAAAAAGCUGGCUGAAACUGGGAAGAGGCAAAAGCACCGCUCCAUGAGACAUGCCCACCAGUGCCAUCUCUGUUUACCAUUGCCAUGGCAACACCCACAAGUUACUGCCGCUUCCCAUGAUAACCACCCCAAAGUUAACGACCUUUUUCUAAAACUUUCUGAAUAACUUGCACCUUAAUUUGUACAUAAUUAAAAGUAGUUGGCCGGGUAUGGUGGCUCACGCCUGUAAUCCCAGCACUUUGGGAGGUCGAGGCGGGCAGAUCAUGAGAUAAGGAGAUCGAGACCAUCCUGGCUAACACAGUGAAACACCGUCUCUACUAAAAAUACAGAAAUUAGCCAGGCGUGGUAGCGGGCACUUGUAAUCCCAGCUACUCGGGAGGCUGAGGUACGAGAAUCGCUUGAACCCAGGAGGCAGAGGUUGCAGUGAGCUGAGGUUGCGCCAUUGCACUCCAGCCUGGGCGACAUACUGAGGCUCUGUCUCAAAAAAAAGAAAAGAAACGAAAAAAAAACAGAGAGAGAGCCGGGCGCGGUGGCUCAUGCCUGUAGUCCCAGCACUUUGGGAGGCCAAGGCGGGCGGAUCAUGAGGUCAGGAGAGAUUGAGACCAUCCUGGCUAACACAGUGAAACCCUGUCUCUACUAAAAAUACCAAAAAAAAAAAAAAAAAGCCGGGCGUGGUGGCAGGCACCCUUAUCCCAGCUACUCUGGAGGCUGAGACAGGAGAAUGGCGUGAGCCCAGGAGGCGGAGCUUGCAGUGAGCCGAGAUCGCGCCACUGCACUCCAGCCUUGGGCAACAGAGCAAGACUCCGUCUCAAAAAAAAAAAAAAAAAAAAAAGAAAAGAAAAAAGAAAAAAAGAAAGAGAGGAGGCUUAGAGUCAGAGAAGUCAAUGUGGUGCUGGGAUCUGAGAAAAAGAACCUGGAAGAUGGUCAGUUGCUGGCUUUGAAGAUGGAGGAAGACACUAAACCAAGGGAUGCAGGACAAGCUGGAAAAGGCAAGGACAUAGAUUUUCCCUGGAGCUUCCCAGAGGAAGCCAACAUCUGGAUUUUCGUCCCAUAAGACUCAUCUCAGAUUUGUGAGCUCCAGGACUGUAAGAGUCUCGCUUAUGUCACCUAGACUGGAUGGAAUGCAAUUAUGUGAUCUCAGCUCAC